CACGUAGUUAGCCGGCGCUUCUUAUCCAGCUACCGUCAACCCACCCACAAGGGGCAGGCCUGCUUCACUGGCGAAAGAGGUUCACAACCCGAAGGCCUCCAUCCCUCACGCGGCGUCGCUGCAUCAGGCUUGCGCCCAUUGUGCAAUAUUCCCCACUGCUGCCUCCCGUAGGAGUCUGGGCCGUGUCUCAGUCCCAGUGUGACCGUCCACCCUCUCAGGCCGGCUACCCGUCACCGCCUUGGUAGGCCAUCACCCCACCAACAAGCUGAUAGGCCGCGAGCCCAUCCCCCACCGAAACAAUAUCUUUCCCACACCCACCAUGCAGCAGGCGCAGAAUAUCCCGUAUUAGCCACACUUUCAUGCGGUUAUCCAGAAGAAGGGGGCAGGUUACUCACGUGUUACUCACCCGUUCGCCACUCAUCCAGAACCAGCAAGCUGGUCCCUUCACCGUUCGACUUGCAUGUGUUAAGCACGCCGCCAGCGUUCGU
rnacentral:rRNA from 1 species